UGGCGGGAAGAUUCUGAGAUCAGAAAUCCGCCAAAAUUCACUGACAUUUUUUUUUUUGUUUUUUUGAAGGAUUUAAAACCCAUUGAAUUCAUUUCAAUUUCCUCACAUGUCUUUCCUCGAAGAAUUUCAAGCCAAUCUGGAAUCACUACCCAACAUUCUUCAAAAGAAGUAUGCUUUGCUGCGUGAUUUAGAUCAAAGUUUGCAAGGGCUAGUGAAACAGAAUGAGCAACGAUGUGAGCAAGAAAUUGAGGAUAUUAAGCGGGGAGUUAAAUGUGGAAAUAUUACUCCUGAUACUUCACUCAUCCGAUUCUCUGAUGAAGC